rnacentral:rRNA from 1 species
GCGGUAAUACGGAGGGUGCAAGCGUUAAUCGGAAUUACUGGGCGUAAAGCGCACGUAGGCGGUGUGUUAAGUUGGAUGUGAAAGCCCCGGGCUCAACCUGGGAAUUGCAUUCAAAACUGGCACGCUAGAGUAUGUGAGAGGGGGGUAGAAUUCCAAGUGUAGCGGUGAAAUGCGUAGAGAUUUGGAGGAAUACCAGUGGCGAAGGCGGCCCCCUGGCACAAUACUGACGCUCAGGUGCGAAAGCGUGGGGAGCAAACAGGAUUAGAUACCCUGGUAGUCCACGCCGUAAACGAUGUCAACUAGCUGUUGGA